UAUAUCCUGAUUUGACCUUCCCGUGAAGAGGCGGGAAUUAUGACAAUAAGACGAGAAGACCCUAUGGAGCUUUAAUUAACCGACCCAAAGAGAUCUUGAUAAUCAACCGACAGGGAUAACAUACCUCUACCAUGGGCCGACAAUUUAGGUUGGGGUGACCUCGGAGAAUAAAACAACCUCCGAGUGAUUUAAAUCUAGACUAACUAGUCGAAAGUACUACAUCACUUAUUGAUCCAAAAACUUGAUCAACGGAACAAGUUACCCUAGGGAUAACAGCGCAAUCCUAUUUUAGAGUCCAUAUCGAAAAYUWGGAYWUGCGCUGUUAUCCCUAGGGUAACUUGUUSCGUUGAUCAAGUUUUUGGAUCAAUAAGUGAUGUAGUACUUUCGACUAGUUAGUCUAGAUUUAAAUCACUCGGAGGUUGUUUUAUUCUCCGAGGUCACCCCAACCUAAAUUGUCGGCCCAUGGUAGAGGUAUGUUAUCCCUGUCGGUUGAUUAUCAAGAUCUCUUUGGGUCGGUUAAUUAAAGCUCCAUAGGGUCUUCUCGUCUUAUUGUCAUAUUCCCGCCUCUUCACGGGAAGGUCAAUUUCACGGAUAUGGAAGUAAGAGACAGUAAAGCCCUCGAUUGCGCUGUUAUCCCUAGGGUAACUUGUUCCGUUGAUCAAGUUUUUGGAUCAAUAAGUGAUGUAGUACUUUCGACUAGUUAGUCUAGAUUUAAAUCACUCGGAGGUUGUUUUAUUCUCCGAGGUCACCCCACCUAAAUUGUCGGCCCAUGGUAGAGGUAUGUUAUCCCUGUCGGUUGAUUAUCAAGAUCUCUUUGGGUCGGUUAAUUAAAGCUCCAUAGGGUCUUCUCGUCUUAUUGUCAUAUUCCCGCCUCUUCACGGGAAGGUCAAUUUCACGGAUUGGAAGUAAGAGACAGUAAAGCCCUCGA
rnacentral:rRNA from 1 species